AAAAAAAUUGUUUGCCACAUUUUUUGGAUCACUCUUUGAGUUGAUCAAAUAAAUAUGUGUAAUACUCCACAUAUUUAUAAUACAAGAAUCCAUAACGUAUUAGGAGAAUUAAUACAAACAAGGGUCUAACAUAAGGUGGAGUCCUAUUACAAUAGGUAAAAUCAAUAGUGAAGUAUUUGAGUUGAAAUAGAGAGAAAAAUGCUAAAAUUUCGAACCCUUCUCUUUAUUCGUUUUGAACCCCUUCAAGACAUCUUUAAGUCUACCAUCAACUCCUAAUAGUCCAACAAUAUUUUCACUCAUAUACUCAAUAAGAAUUCUGGUCAUAAAUCAAUUCUAACAAACUCCACCUUGACAUGAAUUUUACUACAAGAAAUAAAAUUAACUCUUCAAUAUACUCCAAAAAAACCUCCAAACAGAACACUCUAAACAAAAACUCUUUACCUCUUCCAUAGAGUCCCAAGGGCAAAUUCAAUGAUUGUGAACUGAAUCCAAGCACUACUCACCAGCAUAAUUAUCUUCGGCAUCAAAUUUGCUUAAAUAACCGCAAACAACAAAAUCUUGAAGUUCGCAAUUGACUCCAUUUAAGUUACCAAGUUUGCUCGAAUUAUAAUCACUAGCAACAAGAUCACACUAUUACAAAAUCAACUUUUUGCAACAUUCAGAAAAUGUUGUCGAAGACUUUUUGCAACAUUCUACAGUAUGUUGUAAAUCUUGAUGUUGCCGUAGAGUAGAAAAAUACGACAACGUUUUUUGAACGUUGCAAAAAACUAUUUCGCAACGUUUCUCGACUGUUGCUAAUAAUAUUUUUGCAACUUCUUUUAAACAUUGCAAAAAACCAUUUUCGCAACGUUUUAUGACUGUUGCUAAUAAUGUUUUCACAACGUUUCUUGAUUGUUGCAAAAACUCCUUUGGCAACGUUUUAUGACUGUUGCUAAAAAUCCCUUUGCAACGUUUUUAAAGUGUUACUAAUAAUGUUUUUGCAAUAUUUUUAAAGUGUCGUUGAUAAUCAUUUUUGGUUGUAAGAUGUAAUAUCUUUUGAAGCAUGCCCACUUUUGUAUAGGUCAAUAUUUUUUAUGUUGUUUGAAUCAGGAAAUGAGCAAUUGUCACAGCCUUCAUUGUAUGUUAUGCUCUCACAUCUUUCAUUGCUGGUUAUGUUAGCGAUGGCAUGUAAUCCCGCAAUGGCUUAGUUUUGGCAUAAUGUAGAUUAUGUGAAGGCUUACUAUGCUGAUUUGUUGCUUCAAAAUUUGUAUAUCUUCAAAGUUUUGGUUUGGUUUGAUUCUUUUGGAUAAAGUGCAUGUGUGGUCAUUAGGAAAUGAUUAGAAGGUUCAUGUAAUAUUUUCAAGGAGCUCUGCUUGAUUUUAAACAGGACAUGAUUAAUCUCAUUUUCAUGCCCUAUCAAAAAGGUAUACCGGUUAAUAUAAAAGCAGGUGAAUUAAUUUUCAUAUUUUACUAUAGAAUUUUUAAAUUUUUUAAAAAUAUAUUGGUUAAUAUAAAAUCAGGUGAAUUAAUUAAAAAUAAGUUUAAAAACGUUGCAAAUUAAUUGGAGAAAUGACAAUAUUCAAAAAAACGUUGAAAAUAAUCUCAAGACAA
rnacentral:lncRNA from 1 species